rfam:Plasmodium yoelii yoelii 17XNL contig MALPY04697, whole genome shotgun sequence.
CGACCAGCACCGCGAAGUCUAUGGAGUCGUGCCGAUCUGCAAGGUGCUGCCGAUCGCUCCA